rnacentral:rRNA from 1 species
AGAGUUUGAUCCUGGCUCAGAAUCAACGCUGGCGGCGUGCCUCAGACAUGCAAGUCGAACGAUUAAACUUUCCUUCGGGAAAGAUAUAAAGUGGCGCACGGGUGAGUAACACGUAGGUAAUGUGCCUUUGGGUGGGGAAUAACUUAGGGAAACUUAAGCUAAUACCGCAUAAUGCAGCGGCUCCUUCGGGAGACAGUUGUUAAAGAUUUAUCGCCUAAAGAGCAGCCUGCGGCAGAUUAGCUAGUUGGUAAGGUAACGGCUUACCAAGGCUACGAUCUGUAUCCGACCUGAGAGGGUGGUCGGACACACUGACACUGAAUAACGGGUCAGACUCCUACGGGAGGCAGCAGUCGGGAAUUUUGGGCAAUGGGCGAAAGCCUGACCCAGCAACGCCGCGUGAAGGAUGAAGUCCUUCGGGAUGUAAACUUCGUAAGAAUAGGAAGAAUAAAUGACGGUACUAUUUGUAAGGUCCGGCUAACUACGUGCCAGCAGCCGCGGUAAUACGUAGGGACCAAGCGUUGUUCGGAUUUACUGGGCGUAAAGGGCGCGUAGGCGGCGUGUCAAGUCAAUUGUGAAAUCUCCGAGCUUAACUCGGAACGGUCAAUUGAUACUGAUGUGCUAGAGUGCAGAAGGGGCAAUCGGAAUUCUUGGUGUAGCGGUGAAAUGCGUAGAUAUCAAGAGGAACACCUGAGGUGAAGACGGGUUGCUGGGCUGACACUGACGCUGAGGCGCGAAAGCUAGGGUAGCAAACGGGAUUAGAUACCCCGGUAGUCCUAGCCCUAAACGAUGAAUACUUGGUGUCUGGAGUUUUAAUUCUCCGGGUGCCGUCGCUAACGUUUUUAGUAUCC